CGUACGUCUUUGGCCGACAUCACACGAAGUGCUGUCGUGCACCCGAUAAGGCAAACAGUGGUGGAAAAGGAAAAGUACAAAAAGAGGAAGACUUGCAUCAGAAUCCCAAAGCAAUUGCCGCUCAGUCAACUCGCAGCGAGAACAGGCAGCAGCAGAGCCAUGUAGCCACCACAGAAGAUGGCAAAGAAGACGGCGUAGACCAUGAGCAGGAUGUAGGAGGUGGCCAGCGGCGAAAGCAGGUUGACCAAGCCGCAGAGGAUCAGGUCUGAGGUGUGGUCAAGAGUGGAUUCAUCCCGAUUUUAGGGCCCACAAUCCAACAUAGGGAACAUGAUCAGUAUCCAUCCAGCUUCCAUCACAUAUAUCCUCACUGAGGUGGCGGCCACACUGGAACCCAUCCCAGCUUCCUUCAGGCGAGGGGCAGGGUACACCCUGAACUGGUCGCCAGCCAAUCGCAGGGCACAUCUAAACAAACAACCAUUCGCACACACAUUCACACCCAGUGGCCAUUUCAAGUCACCAAUCAACCUAACAUAUGGUUUUGGGAUGGAGGAGGAAACCAGAGUACCCAGAGAGAAACGCACGCAGGCAAACUCCACACAGACGAGA